UACAGAGGGUGCGAGCGUUAAUCGGAAUUACUGGGCGUAAAGCGCACGUAGGUGGCUUGGCAAGUCGGUUGUGAAAGCCCCGGGCUUAACCUGGGAACUGCAUCCGAGACUGCUUUGCUAGAGUAUGGGAGAGGGAAGUGGAAUUUCCGGUGUAGCGGUGAAAUGCGUAGAUAUCGGAAGGAACAUCAGUGGCGAAGGCGACUUCCUGGACCAAUACUGACACUCAAGUGCGAAAGCGUGGGGAGCAAACAGG
rnacentral:rRNA from 1 species